rnacentral:rRNA from 1 species
UAGCUAGUUGGUGGGGUAAGGGCCUACCAAGGCGACGAUCGGUAGCUGGUCUGAGAGGAUGACCAGCCACACUGGAACUGAGACACGGUCCAGACUCCUACGGGAGGCAGCAGUGGGGAAUAUUGGACAAUGGGGGCAACCCUGAUCCAGCAAUGCCGCGUGUGUGAAGAAGGCCUGAGGGUUGUAAAGCACUUUCAGUGGGGAGGAGGGUUGAUAGGUUAAGGGCUAAUUAACUGGACGUUACCCACAGAAGAAGCACCGGCUAACUCCGUGCCAGCAGCCGCGGUAAUACGGAGGGUGCGAGCGUUAAUCGGAAUUACUGGGCGUAAAGGGUGCGUAGGUGGUUGAUUAAGUUAUCUGUGAAAUUCCUGGGCUUAACCUGGGACGGUCAGAUAAUACUGGUUGACUCGAGUAUGGGAGAGGGUAGUGGAAUUUCCGGUGUAGCGGUGAAAUGCGUAGAGAUCGGAAGGAACACCAGUGGCGAAGGCGGCUACCUGGCCCAAUACUGACACUGAGGCACGAAAGCGUGGGGAGCAAACAGGAUUAGAUACCCUGGUAGUCCACGCUGUAAACGAUGUCAACUAGCUGUUGGUUAUAUGAAAAUAAUUAGUGGCGC